GACGAACCGUCCUAACGUUGUUCGGAAUCACUGGGCUUAAAGGGCGCGUAGGCGGGCAGCCAAGUCCGGGGUGAAAUCUUUCGGCUUAACCGGAAAAUAGCCUUGGAUACUGGCUGUCUCGAGGGAGGUAGGGGCCGUUGGAACUUCCGGUGGAGCGGUGAAAUGCGUUGAUAUCGGAAGGAACGCCGGUGGCGAAAGCGAACGGCUGGACCUUUUCUGACGCUGAGGCGCGAAAGCCAGGGGAGCAAACGGG
rnacentral:rRNA from 1 species